UGUUGUGAAGAUGUUCACAUUUGUAGAUCCAGCCUCACUGGCUGCUCUGCAGGAAACCAUCUUCAUCCAUUGCAGUACAGAGGUGUGCCAUCCAUCAUCUGGCUCUUGUGAGCAACGCUGCACCAGGAAACGAAGAGAUACUCCUAUCAAGGCUGUCUCUGGGGAGCAGACUGUGGUUUCUAGUGGAGCAGUUACUCUGGUCAUGUAAAUCUAGUUUUUAAUAAACUUUGCAGAACCCUGAGG